CUGCAGCCAAUUAAGCCGACUGUGCUCUUUGUCCAUGGGGGUCCAGUGUGCCAUGGCUGCAAACAGUAGCCUCCUUGGGAGUGUAUGCAGCCUGUUGAUUGUAUGGGUUGCCCUAAGGGACCUUGGAGACAGCA
ensembl:snoRNA SNORA70 Small nucleolar RNA SNORA70